AAUGAUCAUACAAUUUUGCUCUUGCUUGUAGUGUUAUCGAACUUGUAAUAGGGGGAGGGAUAUAGUUUAUAACAAUAAGAGCAUUGUCAAGUUAUCUUGUACAGUUGUUUCUGACCUUGGCUACAAUUACAUGAAUCAUGUAGAAGUUGGCAAGGAGGAGGUAAGAAUCUUGCCUUUUCUGUUAUUGCUAUAUUUGCAAUAAGCAAUUUAUAGUUAUGAAUCUAUGGUAUUGAUUGUUAUUAUUGUUCUACAAAAAAUAAUGUACUCGUACAAAUGGAGAAACAGGAUAUGCACCUGAGAGCCCUCUAUUUGACUAACAUACUCCCUUUUGAUCUCCCCCAUACCUUCAUAUCAAAGCUGGGAAUGAUUGACUUUCGGAUUAUUCUGACAGUUAGUAGAGAGAACGACUCGUGACACAAUCUAAAUCAAAGGCAUGUUUCUAUGGACUCUGCCAAAAAGAACUUAGCAAAAUAUGUUCUUUACUUGAUAUAUAAUUGUAAAAAAUAAAUAUAAAUGCAUGACAUUGAAAGUGUUUUGCAACCAUCUGUAAUAUUGACAUUGCCAUCCAACAUGAGUCAUACGCUAACUUUUCUUUUUCGCAUCUGUCCAUCACCUCCCGGAGAAGCCAAAAUAAGUAGUUUGGAAGAUUAUAAUUCACAAUAAAGUUCCUGCAAGUUCAUAUACAUUAUUAUUUCAUUAAUAAGAAAUAACCAAACAACCAUUGUGCAAGAAAUGAGAAACAAAGAGUCAAUGGCUAAGUAUUCGGUAUUUGAAUUUCAUCACUGAACUAUGAACUAUCACCAACUAUUUGUCAAAACACAAGUCAACCAUCAAUAGUUUACUUCUCCAAUGUGAACAUAUAGUGAUAUUUCAGAUAAGAAACUCACUUCUCCUUCAGU
rnacentral:lncRNA from 1 species